rnacentral:tRNA from 1 species
GGAGAGGUGGCUGAGUGGUCGAAAGCGGCGGUUUCGAAAGCCGUUGACGGGUAAACCCCGUCCGGGGGUUCGAAUCCCUCCCUCUCCGCCA